rnacentral:rRNA from 1 species
UACGUAGGGGGCGAGCGUUGUCCGGAGUUACUGGGCGUAAAGGGCGUGCAGGCGGUGCGGUAAGUUUAGCGUGACAGUCUCCGGCUUAACUGGAGAAGGCCGCUGAAAACUGCUGGACUUGAGGGCCAGAGAGGGACAUAGAAUUCCGGGUGGAGUGGUGAAAUGCGUAGAUAUCCGGAGGAAUACCAAAGGCGAAGGCAGUGUCCUGGCUGGCAACUGACGCUGAGGCGCGAAAGCCAGGGGAGCGAACGGG